GUCCCCGGCGUCCGGGCGCCCUGCAUGGAUCCCCCACCCCAGCUCCUGCUCCCCGGCGGCGGCCGGUGGGCAGAAAGACCGAAACCCACUCACGGCCGCCUGCCGAAUCGCGGCUCUGCUGUUUGUGGGGCGUGCUAGAAACGUGGUCCUAAAAAGAAUGGCGUCCAUUUACAUAAUGCUUUGUUUGCGUUUCGCAAGUUUCUUUCGGUUAAAGCCACAGAAACCCCACCUCCUGCCCUUGUGUCGUUUCCACCGCGGCACCCUUUUCCGACAUUAGAAACAAUAGUGUACGCCUGUGGAGGCCUCGUUUGUUCAGGGGCUGCCGGCCAGGGCUUCAGGACGUUUCUGCGGCUUUCCCCGCGCGGCCUGGGCUCCCGCGGCUGCUUUUCGGGCCCAUGGGCGCAGCCACUGCGCCAGGCUCAAGGGGGGCGGCCCCGUCAGGGCCCGCCAUCUUGGAAGGCCUUUUUUGCCGGUUCUUCCCGCUGAGGAAGUGUCGCUCAAGACGCUGGCCUAUGAGUUGUGAUUUCUGCCUUUUCCCCUUCCUCCUUGGGCUAAGCCAGACCAGAAAGGGCCCCGUGCGCAACGUGCUUCACAAUCUCUCAGGGAAAGCGGCUAACGUGGCGCUACUCCGCCUCCCCUGUUCCUUACCCUUGGGGCGGCCGCCAUGUUUCCUGAACACAAAAUGGCGACACGUGGUUAGCAUUCGUCGCCAACGAGAAAUUGGGGUCGGCCCGAAAGCUCUAGAAUGCACCCCUCUUCCUCCCCGGGGCCUUCCACCUCCGCGAGUUUUAUGACUUAAAAAAGCCCACAGGCUGGUCUGAAGGUCGGAGGCCUAAUUUUAACGCGUUUUCCUCCCUUUAAUUUGAAACGGGAACGCGAAUGACUGUAAAAUGUGGGCACAAUAUUUAAUCUCUCGCCUUUUUAAAGCUUAAUAGUGGAUAAUAGGGGGGCAGUAUCAAGGGAUAAUUUGGGUCCCCACAGUACCAAAGCAUUUAGAAACCUCUGUUUAAUUUAAGGAAUGAGAUAAGUUACUGCUUUUCUAGACUUCCUAGCAUGGGCUGUUGUGCUGGAGAGAACGAGAGCUACGAAGAGACUACAGUGCCUCUGACUUUUUCAUAGGACAGUUGGCCGGUGAAUCUUAUUAAUAGUUUACCACAAUUAAGUGUUCAUUUUUAGUCUAGAAGGGACAGGCGUUUAUUGUGCAUUGGCCAGUGCCAGCACAUCCGAUGCAAGGCAGUUCACCGUAUUCUAUCUUUAAUUUUUACCAUGGUCCUCUGAGGUAGGUGUUCUUAUCUCUCUCUCUCUCUCUCUCUUUUAAACAGAGGAAGACAAACAUAAAGAUGAAGUGCUUAAUUCAAGGUCACACAAUGUCGGGGAUGGACCUCCAGAUUUCCUUACUGGUGAGACGUGGUCUUGUAACACAGUGGUUAAGAAUGUGACUUUGGAGCCAGCCUGCUAGGGGCUGAAUUCUGACUCAGCCAUUUACUAACUGUGUGACCUUAGUCUCACUGUUGCUCAGGCUGGAGUGCAAUGGCAUGAUCUCGGCUCAUCACAACCUCUGCUUCCUGGGUUCAAGCGAUUCUCCUGCCUCAGCCUCCCGAGUACCUGGGACUACAGGCACUCGCCACCAUGCCCGGCUGAUUUUUGUAUUUUUAAUAGAGAUGGUUUCACUAUGUUGGCCAGGCUGGUCUCGAACUCCUGACCUUGUGAUCUGCCCACCUCAGCCUCGAAAAGUGCUGGGAUUACAGGCGUGAGCCACUGCGCCCAGCCUUGUAUUUUUUUUCAGUUUGGGUAGCUGUCCCUAAUUCAUUUGUUAAAGGAGAAGCAAGAGCAAGAACCUUUAAUCUGUUCUCCUCUUCCCUAAUUUGAAAGUAGCUUGUUAUUUUGAAUAUCACUUUCUCUGAAAUAGCACAUCUCCAUCUCAGAGAAUGGAUUUAAUGUUUGGAUACAGCCAAAAGUCAUUUCAUUACCAAACCAUGGGGUGAAUAUACCAUGUAAAGCAGUUUGGGAUCAGAACUCACAGUCUGAAUUGUAAGUGAUGAGACUGCUGUCUCUCUGCUACAGCUUCUUGGCUGGCUCUGAAGGCUCUUUGAAGGCAGAUCCUAACAAGGGGACUGCUUUGAAGGGCCAUUGUUCAUUUGGAAUGAUAAAGUCUAUGUUGUUCAAAAAACAAAUGCUUGUAGCAGGUAUUUUUUCACUCCAGACUGAGAAUAUUGGUGGGAUAUUGAUAAGGGGUACUGAAUGGUAAUAAACAUGUGCUCUAGCUCUGUGCUAGUCAGCUUAUUUCAGAACUCUAGUUUGAUUCAGUUUCUUGCCUCUGACUCAAAAUGGAGGGAGAGUGAUUUUUACAUAAGAGAACACACCCACAUAUCCUUUUGGCAGCAGCUACCUGCCAGAGAUGUUGAAGAAGAGUAGCCAACCUUUACACAGCAGAUAUUGUGUGCCAGUCAUAGUCCUAAGUAUAAUACCUUACAUGUAUAAACUUCUUAUAAGGUUGGUGCUCUGUACCGAAUUGAAUAGUAUCCCCCAAAAUUCAUGUUGUCCCAGAACCUAUGAAAGUGAUCUUACUUGAGGGAGGGGGGAGGGGGGAGGGAUAGCAUUAGGAGAUAUACCUAAUGCUAAAUGACGAGUUAAUGGGUGUAGCACACCAGCAUGGCACAUGUAUACAUAUGUAACUAACCUGCACAUUGUGCACAUGUACCCUAAAACUUAAAGUAUAAUAAUAAUAAAAUAAAAAAAAAAAAGAAAGUGAUCUUACUUGGAAAUAAGGUCUUUGCACAUAUGAUCAAGUUGAGAUGAAGUUGUACUGGAAAGUCUGUCUAGUGACUGGUGUUGUCAUAAGAAGAGAGGGACACAGAGGGAAGAUGGCCACAUGAAGAUGGAGGCAGAGAUUGCAGUUAUGCUGCUGCAAACUAAGGAAUGGCUCUGGCCCUCCAAGGAUUGCUGAUAACCACCAGAAACUAGAAGAGACAAGGAAGGAUUCUUCCCUAGAGCCUUCAGAGGGAGCAUGGCCCUACUGACACCUGGAUUUCAAACUUGUAGCUUCCUAAACUGCAAGAGAAUAAAUUUCUGUUGUUUUAAGCCA
rnacentral:lncRNA from 1 species